GGCUUGUUGGUCUAGGGGUAUGAUUCUCGCUUUGGGUGCGAGAGGUCCCGGGUUCAAAUCCCGGACAAGCGGACA